UCCUCGUUAGCUCAAUCGGCAGAGCGGGCGGCNNCGGGCGGCUGUUAACCGCUAGGUUCGAAGUUCGAGUCUUCGACGAGGAGCCA
rnacentral:tRNA from 1 species